rnacentral:rRNA from 1 species
UGGGGGAUAUUGCGCAAUGGGGGAAACCCUGACGCAGCAACGCCGCGUGAAGGAAGAAGGUCUUCGGAUUGUAAACUUCUUUUGUCAGGGACGAAGAAAGUGACGGUACCUGACGAAUAAGCUCCGGCUAACUACGUGCCAGCAGCCGCGGUAAUACGUAGGGAGCGAGCGUUGUCCGGAUUUACUGGGUGUAAAGGGUGCGUAGGCGGCCGAGCAAGUCAGUUGUGAAAUCUAUGGGCUCAACCCAUAAACUGCAUUUGAAACUGUAGAGCUUGAGUGAAGUAGAGGCAGGCGGAAUUCCCCGUGUAGCGGUGAAAUGCGUAGAGAUGGGGAGGAACACCAGUGGCGAAGGCGGCCUGCUGGGCUUUAACUGACGCUGAGGCACGAAAGCGUGGGUAGCAAACAGGAUUAGAUACCCUGGUAGUCCACGCUGUAAACGAUGAUUACUAGGUGUUGGAGGAUUGACCCCUUCAGUGCCGCAGUUAACACAAUAAGUAAUCCACCUGGGGAGUACGACCGCAAGGUUGAAACUCAAAGGAAUUGACGGGGGCCCGCACAAGCAGUGGAGUAUGUGGUUUAAUUCGACGCAACGCGAAGAACCUUACCAAGUCUUGACAUCCGUUGACCGACAUAGAAAUAUGUUUUUCCUUCGGGACAGCGAGACAGGUGGUGCAUGGUUGUCGUCAGCUCGUGUCGUGAGAUGUUGGGUUAAGUCCCGCAACGAGCGCAACCCUUAUGGUCAGUUACUACGCAAGAGGACUCUGGCCAGACUGCCGUUGACAAAACGGAGGAAGGUGGGGAUGACGUCAAAUCAUCAUGCCCUUUAUGACUUGGGCUACACACGUACUACAAUGGCGUUAAACAAAGAGAAGCAAGACCGCGAGGUGGAGCAAAACUCAGAAACAACGUCCCAGUUCGGACUGCAGGCUGCAACUCGCCUGCACGAAGUCGGAAUUGCUAGUAAUCGUGGAUCAGCAUGCCACGGUGAAUACGUUCCC